rnacentral:rRNA from 1 species
AUACGGAGGGCGCGAGCGUUAAUCGGAAUCACUGGGCGUAAAGCGUGCGUAGGCUGUUUGAUAAGUCAGACGUGAAAUCCCUCGGCUCAACCGGGGAACUGCGUUUGAAACUGUCGAACUCGAGUCCUGGAGAGGGUGGCGGAAUUCCUGGUGUAGGAGUGAAAUCCGUAGAUAUCAGGAGGAACACCGGUGGCGAAGGCGGCCACCUGGACAGGUACUGACGCUGAGGCACGAAAGCGUGGGGAGCAAACAGGAUUAGAUACCCUGGUAGUCCACGCGGUAAACGAUGGAUGCUAGGUGUCGGGGAGCGAUCUUCGGCGCCGCAGCUAACGCAUUAAGCAUCCCGCCUGGGGAGUACGGUCGCAAGGCUGA